AUGAUGAAUGACACAGCAACUAUCUGGACCAGGAAGUUCAUGACCAAUCGACCGCUCCAGAGGAAACAAAUGGUCACCAAUGUCCUUCACCCCAGAAAGGCAACAAAAUGUACAAGACCACAAUGGAUGUCAUCUUCAUGUUAACAGUUGGACUCAGAACCCAUGUUGGUGGUGGUUAAACAAUCGUCAUCCACAUUGGAGUGCAGUGGUACGAUCUCAGCUCACCAAAUCUCUGCCUCCCAGGCUUAAGCAAUUCUCCUUCCUCAGCCUCCCACGUAGCUGGGAUUACAGGCAAGCACCACUACUGCCUGGCUAAUUUUUAUAUUUUUAGUAGAGAUGGGGUUUCACCUUGUUGGCCAGGCUGGUCUUGAACUCCUGACCUCAAAUGAUCCACCCGCCUUGGCCUCCCAAAGUGCUAAGAUUACAGGCAUGAGCCACCGUGCCCAGCCUUUUCUGUAUUAAAUUUUUAAAAACACAACAUUUAAAAUAAUCAAGUCAUUCUUUUUCAAUCUACUUUGUAUUAUAGGUAUUCAAAUACUCACCUAUUCUCUCUCACAUGAUGACAAACUCGUUGAAAUGUCAUGUCAUUUUGUGGCUCCAGCCCCAGGGAUUCUGACUCUGAUUCUAAAGGGCCUGCAUGCAGACCGAGCAAGCCCCCUGGAUGCUUCUCUUACAGGUGUUUUAAGGGCAGCAGUUUGAGACACCCUGAUGCAAAAGAACGAACCCUCAAGGAAGUUGGCUGUA
rnacentral:lncRNA from 10 species